AUAUGUCUUCGGAUAUAGAGGCCGGCGCACGGGUGCGUAACGCGUAUGCAAUCUACCUUUUACAGAGGGAUAGCCCAGAGAAAUUUGGAUUAAUACCUCAUAGUAUAGCUCUACCGCAUGGUAGUACUAUUAAAGUCACAACGGUAAAAGAUGAGCAUGCGUCCCAUUAGCUAGUUGGUAAGGUAACGGCUUACCAAGGCAACGAUGGGUAGGGGUCCUGAGAGGGAGAUCCCCCACACUGGUACUGAGACACGGACCAGACUCCUACGGGAGGCAGCAGUGAGGAAUAUUGGACAAUGGGCGCAAGCCUGAUCCAGCCAUGCCGCGUGCAGGAUGACGGUCCUAUGGAUUGUAAACUGCUUUUGUACGAGAAGAAACACUGCUUCGUGAAGCAGCUUGACGGUAUCGUAAGAAUAAGGAUCGGCUAACUCCGUGCCAGCAGCCGCGGUAAUACGGAGGAUCCAAGCGUUAUCCGGAAUCAUUGGGUUUAAAGGGUCCGUAGGCGGUUUAGUAAGUCAGUGGUGAAAGCCCAUCGCUCAACGGUGGAACGGCCAUUGAUACUGCUGAACUUGAAUUAUUAGGAAGUAACUAGAAUAUGUAGUGUAGCGGUGAAAUGCUUAGAGAUUACAUGGAAUACCAAUUGCGAAGGCAGGUUACUACUAAUUGAUUGACGCUGAUGGAC
rnacentral:rRNA from 1 species